rnacentral:rRNA from 1 species
UACGGCGGCGGCAAGCGCUAUCCGGAAUUAUUGGGCGUAAAGCGUCCGUAGGUGGUGAUUCAAGUCAGCGGUUAAAGCGUGGGGCUUAACCUCAUACAGGCCGUUGAAACUGGAUUGCUAGAGUGCGGUAGGGGUCGAGGGAAUUCCCAGUGUAGCGGUGAAAUGCGUAGAUAUUGGGAAGAACACCGGUGGCGAAAGCGCUCGGCUGGGCCUGCACUGACACUGAGGGACGAAAGCUAGGGGAGCGAAAGGG